CAUCUCUCCUGGUUAUUCAGGUUUGGUAUUCAGGCGGCAACUUCUGAGAGUCUCAGAGAAGUUUCUGGGCACUGCCUUCUUGUCCCUGAUCUCCUUCUGAGCCAAGGAAGACUUUCCACCAAGAUCUGAUGAGAGAGGAAAAUCUACCCAGAAGCCAUUAGCAGACUUCCAGUUAUGUCCCCUUGCCAAGAAGUGGAUCAAACGACCACCACAUUGGCUAAAUCCAUAAUCUGCAAAGAGGAAAUGAACCAGACUGAUCAAGGUUCAUUGCACAGGCCCAAGAAUCAUCACGUGCACUUCUGCAACUAAAUAUAAAAGGAUUGCAAAACAGGCUAUGGGGGUUCAAGGCUCAUUUUCCUGCUCCCCUUCCUGUCUAUUAUAUUUUGGAGGAUAACAUAAUCCCACAUGCUUUCAUCUGUCUGCCUGAGAGCUCCAACUACUCCCUGGGAUGUGUGAACUAGAACUGUGUGGUUGAUAGUGUAACUUCUCACAGAACACCUGCAGGUGUGAGAACAGCACUCGAAGAUGCUGGAGCAGACUCCAGAGAGCCUUGCUGGCCUUGCCAAGGCACAGGGUUGACUGGGCUCCCAGCCCUGUGAUGUUCUGGUUAAGUGUGAGUGGCAGAAGCUUAUGCCUGCUUGCCGAAGUCACUUUCAAUGACUACCACCUGGGAGUCACAGAUAAGGGAUGAUAAAGGUUUUCUUUUCCACUCCUUUGCUGCCUUCAGCCAGUGUCUGCAGAGAUUCUUAACUAGUAGCCGUGCUCUGAGGGACCGUUUGUUUCCCUGUCAGUAUUGUUUCCGCGCUGAAAAAAGGAAAAGAAGUCCCUGUUUUCAACGGACGCCCUUGCAAGGCAUUGGCAGCCCAGGGUGGACUCACAAGCGUCUUCGUCCCUGGCAGUGAAGGCAGGGCUGUCUUGGAGACCAGAAACUUCGAGCAAGAACUCGGGGAACAAAAGAGAGGCGGGGGCACUGCUUAUUCAGAGGCCCUGAUUGAAGAAGUCCUUGAUCAAAGGCACUGCAGAACACAAGCUGCAGGCUGACUGGGAGUAUUUGGAACAUGAAGGUGAUGAAGGGGAUCCAGCCUUUUUCUGAACAGAAGGAAAUGACCAGGGGAAAUGGUCCUCCUUUAACUGACAGAGCUCUGUCAGGGCCGAUGACAGGAGGGGGCUGUUGUUGGGAAGCUGCCGAGCGCUUGCGGUUAUUCAAAGUGUGACCAGCUUCACAAGGCUACCCUCCCUCCCCCGUCAUAAAUGAAGGAAGAAGCAUUUGAAUCAGGGCCAGGUCCUGACUGAAAAGAGAAUCUUCAAACGACGGAAACUUCAGCAAGGACUUCAACACGUGAACUUAGGGGACACAAUUCAACCCCUAACAUGGGUUGAAAGGAUCUUCUUUUGAAAGAAGGAACUUCUUUUUUGAAAGAAGGAGCUUCUUUUGAUAAAGUUUCUGAGAGUGUGAAUGAAAGAGGGGGCCCAAUCUCAGGUAAAACUUUUGAAUAUUUUUUUUUUAAUUUUUUUUAAUUUUACUUAAUU